GCCGUGCUCUCCCCAGUCCCCUCCGCCUCCGGUCACCAUUAACCUAGCCGCAACUCUCCUCGGUGCGGCGGUGCCCGCCUGCCCGGAGCUCGGACACCGGAGCGACCUCAAGUGUUCCACAGGCGUCACGGGACACGACGCUCACCGCUCGCUAUCGCUGGCGGACUACGGACGGCUGGAGCUGGAUUGCUGACUGCUGUGGAGAAUUCGGACUUUGAAGCCUCAAGUCUGAACCAUAUGUGAAGUCUGAACUGUAUUUUUCUCGUGGAUUUGUGAUGCAAUGCAAUGGCACUUGGCGGCUGUCACUGGCAGGCAGCAGCAGCACCGCAGCAGGCUUAAUGCCUUACAGCCUUGCACUUUUGUAUCUUUUGUCGUCGUCGAGUACUCAGUACAUUAGUGUAGUAGUAGGUAGUACCUGUCGGCUGUAUUGGUUCUUGAAUUCUCGCUCCUCUGCAUAAGGUUUGUUCUCUAUACUAGAUUAUGAUCUUAAGAUGUUCUGUUAGUAGUAAUUCAUUAAUCUGCGUUUUGUUCAGUGAGAUGUUGCUUUCUAUAUAUGCAUUUUGUUCUUGUUACAAUGUGCAUUCAGAUACUGAGGUACUUGUGCUUUUAAUAUCUCGGGUAAAUUGGGUAUACGCGAACCUGAAAUUGCGGGUAGCUUUUUUUAAAAAAUCUGUGAUCUAGUAACACUUUCUAUUACCCGAAUUUAAUAAAAUCCAAACUACCCGACCUGAACUAAUCGGUAACCCGAAGGCCCAGUCUCGGAGGGGGUGCACAUCUCAGCUUUAAAGUUUUGUUGCAAGCAUUUGUUUUAAUGCAUAAAGACGCUAUUGUGGUAUCUACAAAUCAUAAAUCCUACAGUGUUGCAGACUAGGUAUAAGAAGAGGCAAAAGAGAGUAACACUGAAUAGUAAAUUGCAUCAUAAUUAGGUUCUCGAUGGUACACCUUUAAGAGUUUCUUAUAAGGAAAAAAAGGGGUCCAUAAUCAUUACUAAAGCUUUUUUGCAUGCACAUUUGAUUUUCUGAAAGUUUCACAUUAUAAUUAUCUAGACUGGUAGAUAAUACUCAAUAUCAUUAGUUUUUUCAUGAUGUUGACUUUCAUGAUAAUAUCUAUGCACACUAGUAGUUUCUAGAAUCUAGAUAUUAAAAAAUCAUGUUCCAGUGUGAUUUUUUCAUGUUUUUCCAUAGGACUGUGUCUAUGUGUCUACCAUUCAUUCCCUGACUCUGAUGUUGUUGCUAAUUUUAUCUUCUUUGAUGCAGCAUGUUUGGAGCAAAGAUGAGGGCAGAGUUAGCAAAUAUGCUUGUUAUGUAUGAAGUAGCAUAAAUCAGGCUAUAGACACUAGAGAAGAGGCUGGUAUUUUAUUUUAUUUCCUUAUAUCUUGUAUAUCAAAUUCCUAUUCUUUUGUGUUUGUAAAUCAACGAUCAAUGGACAUUUCCAUGAACAUGUAUUAAAUUGAGUUGUAUAUUGGU
rnacentral:lncRNA from 7 species